CAGUCACCCAGGUACCUGUCUCCUGUAUCUAUCUCGUCCUCAUUCUCCUGUAUGAGCCAAAGGUUCUCGAGCUGAAGGUCUCGUUCCUGAACACUGUCUCGAAGGAGCUGCAGUUCGAUGCACUUCAUGAAGGUAUACAAUAGGAAAGGCAAAAGGAGAAGAAAGUCAUUUGGUCACCUCUCCCCGUAUUCAGCAAACCAGAGCUUGGAGACAAUCAUGAUUUGAACAGCCUAAAUACACCGCUGUACAGCUGGUUGCUGAACUUCCGAACCAACAGACCUCAGACAGUUAGGAUGCACAACUGCACUUCCCUCUCCUGUCACCCUCAACAUGGGUGCCCCCCCCCCAGGGGUGUGAGCUGAGCCUAUUGCCGUACUCUCUGCUGACACAUGACUGCACGGCCAACACCUGAGUGAUCACAUUGUCAAGUUCACCAGUGACGUGACAAUGGUGGGGCUUAUCAGCUACUUUAGAUGGCUUACAGAGAGGAGGUGGAAGAGCUAGAGGCCUAGCGCCAGGCCAAUAACCUCUUCCUCAAUGUCAACUCAAAGGAUAGUUAUCCACUUUAGAGAACUCGCAUCACUCACACACCCCUUGGGAGUGCACAUCUCACACAACCUCUUAUGGUCUCCAAACACAUUCUACACAAUCAGGAAAGCUCACCAACACUUCUACUUCGAGGAGACUAUGCACAUCUAUACUCACAUCAUUCUAGAGAUGUGCAGUACAGAGCUGCAUCACUGGAGGGCGCUACACAAGGUAGUCAAAACUACUCAAAGCAUCACUGGCACCAGCCUACCGACCACCAAGGACACGCAGUAUAUACAGAAAAGUGCCAGAAAAAGCCACUAACAUCAUGAAGGAUCGCACAAACCCUGCCCAUGGACUGUUUGUCCUACUCCCAUCCAGGAGGUGGCUACAUAGCAUCCACACCAGGACUCAAAAACAGUUACUUUCCCCAUGCAGUAAGGCAAAUCAACAACUCCACCCACUAAUUCACCUCUCUGAAUUCUCCACCACCACUACUUUAUGAUUUUCUGUCUGUCACCUUAUGUAUAGAUACUCUUGUGCCAAAUAUCACUGUAUGCACAUACAACCAAUGUAUGUAAUUAAUCUUGUAUUCUUGCAUUUAUUGAGGUUUUGUAUUAUCUGGAAUAACAAUUAUUUUGCUCUCCGUUACACUUUUGAGAAGUGUCAGUUUUAGCUUUAUAAAUAUAUUGCAGCUCAUGUAAGCAGACAGGCUUUGUGUUGUGUGCCAUCUUUCCACAUUACUUGUUUGCCAUUGAUAUUCCCAAAUUUUAGGGUUAGGCGGGAUUUUCCAGCAGUUUGGAAUUAUUCAGCCUGCUUUGUAACAACUCAAAAGUUAUGUGAACUACCAUAUGUUCUAAUAGAUUAUUUUUAGAUUUGUAACUUGACAGCCAAUAGGCCAAACAGGGCCAGACCACAGCCAACAGUGAAACUGGUAGACUAUCAAUUCAAUAAUUCACUCGAGCAUCUUCUGUACUUUAGUCUGUACCAUCCACUUUGCUGAUGGCAGGUCCUGUUACUAUAAAAGCAAGUAAAUUAAUUAUGUUUAGCAGAAAACAAUUAUCCUGUUCUUUUAAUAUUUAAUAUCUUGAUAAAAUUGAUCUUUCAUUUUGUGUAUUAAAAAACCCUUGUCUUUUAGCUCCUUUCACAAUUACAUACUCCAGCCCAGAGCCUUUAAUUGUGGAGUAUCUUACGGUAUUGGAUGCAGCCAUUAAUAUAUUGUGACACUUACAAAUCCAUAGGCUUCUAUCCUGCAGACAUGAUCACACAGUAAUCAAUAUGCCAGUGUAAGCACGGAAUGCAUUCCAGCUAGCAAUACCUUAUCUGAAAGCAAGUCAAUGGUUAAAUACAAAUGAGCAGGCUGCUGGAUAUGCUAAUGGAAUUGGCAUACUGGCAAGAGAAAACAGUGAACAAAAAUUAUAAAGUGUAAAUGAGCAGAAAACAUCCUUACUAACGUAGAGGAGAUGCUUCAUUAGAACAAGUACAAAACUAUUUAAUGAUCUACAGCACAGUGGUAACAAAAAAACAAUCCACACAAGAACAUGGAUUUGGAAAAUCAUUAAUUUUCAGCAACAUGCAGUUGAAGUACUUUAUAUGUAAAUGCUGGAAUUUUGCACAAUUGAUGCAGUUUGAAAAUGCAAUUUUGAACUUCUAUGCUGGUUUAAUGUUGGGUGCAUAGGACACAGACAAAAUAAAAUCUAAUGUACAAUUAUUUAGUUGAAAUUGGGAUUUUAUUUGCUUUAGAAACUUCAAGGGAUGCUCUCAGAGAACCAGCCUUUCAUAGCAGCUGCACCAUUUAAAACGGGGGUUCCCACCCUGGGGUCCACAGACACUUUGCUUAAUGGUAUUGGCCCAUGGCAUUAAAGAAAAGCUCUGAACCCCUGAUUUUAAAGGACUUCUCAGACACACUUCUCAGUUCAUUGCCCCAAGAAGAAUGUUGAAUCUUGUCACAACUAUAGAAUAAGUAAGGGCUUUGAGGGAAACAAGAGGAAUAGGGGCUGCAGACAAUAUCCCCAAGUAUGCAGAGAGCUAUACUCCUGAGUUCCCUAGGAAGCAACAUAUCAGGAGGUUAAUGUUCUUUGUAAAAUAUUCUCAGCAGCAGCAUCUGUUUUGUGCCAAUGUCCCAGUUUGCUGAACACUGCUGUUUAAGGAGGUUGCUGUCCAUCUUUCAAAAAGUGGCUUCCCCUUUCUGCAAGUAGAGACCCAGAUCUUCCAGACUUUUAAGGAGUGACAGAUCACUCACACGUGGUGUUUCAGGCUCUGAAAAUCUGGAGGCCCACAUAAAUUGUCACUCCCUGAAGUUUCAACAUAACAGGGAAAAUUCUCAAGGUCAAUGCAAUGUAUCCAAGGAGCUUACAAAAAUACACCUUUGGUGGGAGCCAGAUUGGCUGCUGCAUUCUAGUAAGAUUGCAACACACUCAGAUGCGACAGCCAGUCUGAGUCCAACCAAAGGUGUAUUUCUUCACCCUGAAUGUCUCCUUCAAUGAUUGCAAGUCACGGCUGGAUACUAAGAACAUCAAGUACUGCGGGACUAUUCCAUCAGCGAAUUGCUCGAUAGUGGUAGAGCUGGACUUAUUGCGUACUGUGGUGCAGAGACAUUGCACAGUCCAGAGGAAAAAUUAGUAAUUGUCAUGAAUGUUUUUGAGGUCACAAGACCCUGUUGGACAUUGGUAACAAAAUACUGGAAGUUCGGUUCACUCUCUCAUUGGUGAGACUGAGUUGCAUUGCCUCAAUUGCAUGGAUAAGAUCCUAAAACCUCAUAGUCACCUGUGGUGGUCACAAGCAAAAGAGACAAUGGAGCUGGCUGCCCUCCAGUGUUUGCUCACUGGAUGAACAAGCUGGACCAGGACAACUCAGGGACUUCAGCUAUAUUUUUUUUUGCUCUUUGCUAUUUAUACUAUGUGCAGGGUGUUGUGUGCUGUUGGUAAUGUGUUUUGCACCUUGGUUCUGCAGGAAAGCCAUUUCAUUUGACCAUAUUCAUGUUUGGUUGAAUGAUAAUUAAACAUAUAUUUAAUCUCAGGCAGUAUUAUGAGAACCAUAUUUCAUACUGCAGCGCUGAUAUGAAUUAGUCAGCCAGUAUCAGUAUUGCAGCAGCCACAAUCAUUACCCAUGUAGUAGAAAACCAAUUACAUGCAUUUUCAAUAGCACUGUAAGUAUUCCAGUUGCCUACAAAAAAGUAGGAAGCAGCGUGGGUUAACAGCCCCUACUUAGGGGAGUUUAACUUCUCAGACAGCCACAAUUUUAAAAAGGUAAUCUGCUCUUUUAAAGAUUAAUGGCCAAAAUACCAAAACAUAAAGGACUCUGAGACUUAUAAAGUUGAACAAGAGGAGCGAAAGAAUAAAUUCAAAUUUGCAGUCAGUUGUCACUAACGAGUAGGGAGAGUAGGACUACUGGAAGUUCUCUUUUUAUUUAUCUAUUCAGAAUAGAUUUUUAAACCUCUCAAACCCUAGGAUUGCAAUAGUGCAGCACAGUUUACCCAAUAACUUGAAAAGCCCAUCUGAUGAA